CAGAGGCCUGCCACAAGAAUGGACACAGAAACCGAAGAUUCUCAGGAAUCUCAGCAGGAAGGAAAUAGAAAGAGGAAGAAGGGGAAAAAAGCUGC